rnacentral:rRNA from 1 species
GAUGAACGCUGGCGGCGUGCCUAAUACAUGCAAGUCGAGCGAAUGGAUUAAGAGCUUGCUCUUAUGAAGUUAGCGGCGGACGGGUGAGUAACACGUGGGUAACCUGCCCAUAAGACUGGGAUAACUCCGGGAAACCGGGGCUAAUACCGGAUAAUAUUUUGAACUGCAUGGUUCAAAAUUGAAAGGCGGCUUCGGCUGUCACUUAUGGAUGGACCCGCGUCGCAUUAGCUAGUUGGUGAGGUAACGGCUCACCAAGGCAACGAUGCGUAGCCGACCUGAGGGGGUGAUCGGCCAGACUGGGACUGAGACACGGCCCAGACUCCUACGGGAGGCAGCAGUAGGGAAUCUUCCGCAAUGGACGAAAGUCUGACGGAGCAACGCCGCGUGAGUGAUGAAGGCUUUCGGGUCGUAAAACUCUGUUGUUAGGGAAGAACAAGUGCUAGUUGAAUAAGCUGGCACCUUGACGGUACCUAACCAGAAAGCCACGGCUAACUACGUGCCAGCAGCCGCCGUAA